CCGGCGACCGGCGCACGGGUGAGUAACACGUAUGCAACCUGGCCGUGACAGAUGGAUAACCGGGAGAAAUCCCGCCUAAUACAGCAUGGCGCCGUGGGAGGCCAUCCUCCCGCGGCCAAAGGGCGACCCGGUCACGGAUGGGCAUGCGGCGCAUUAGGUAGUUGGUGGGGCAACGGCCCACCAAGCCGACGAUGCGUAGGGGUUCUGAGAGGAAGGUCCCCCACAUUGGAACUGAGACACGGUCCAAACUCCUACGGGAGGCAGCAG
rnacentral:rRNA from 1 species